CACCCGGACUCGCCAGUGAGGCGGCCACGCGAGGAGGCGCCUGACGACAGCGACGCAUAUGAACUCGACCAGGAACGCGCGCUGGAGUUGCAGGGGCGCAUCUCCUUAUUUUACGGCCGGCCUUGGGACGAGGUGCCGAGAGGCGCGACGGUGCCAGUGACUUGCGAGUGGACCAUCGCAUCAUUCAGCCCUAUGGGUUGUAAACUUCUUUUAUAGAGGAAGAAACUUAUCUACGUGUAGAUAACUGACGGUACUCUACGAAUAAGGAUCGGCUAACUCCGUGCCAGCAGCCGCGGUAAUACGGAGGAUCCAAGCGUUAUCCGGAAUUAUUGGGUUUAAAGGGUCCGCAGGCUGUUUGUUAAGUCAGAGGUGAAAGCCUACCGCUCAACGGUAGAAUUGCCUUUGAUACUGACAGACUUGAGUUAUUGUGAAGUAGUUAGAAUGUGUAGUGUAGCGGUGAAAUGCAUAGAUAUUACACAGAAUACCAAUUGCGAAAGCAGAUUACUAACAAUAUACUGACGCUGAGGGACGAAAGCGUGGGUAGCGAACAGGAUUAGAUACCCUGGUAGUCCACGCCGUAAACGAUGGUCACUAGCUGUUCGAUGUACAUUGGUACGUUGAGUGGCUAAGCGAAAGUGAUAAGUGACCCACCUGGGGAGUACGCUCGCAAGAGUGAAACUCAAAGGAAUUGACGGGGGCCCGCACAAGCGGUGGAGCAUGUGGUUUAAUUCGAUGAUACGCGAGGAACCUUACCAGGGCUUAAAUGUAGAACGACAGAGGUGGAAACACCUCCUUCUUCGGACGGUCUACAAGGUGCUGCAUGGUUGUCGUCAGCUCGUGCCGUGAGGUGUCAGGUUAAGUCCUAUAACGAGCGCAACCCCUAUUUCUAGUUGCCAGCGGUUCGGCCGGGGACUCUAGAGAAACUGCCAGCGUAAGCUGUGAGGAAGGUGGGGAUGACGUCAAAUCAUCACGGCCCUUACGUCCUGGGCCACACACGUGCUACAAUGGUGAGGACAGAGAGUUGCCAACCCGCGAGGGUGAGCCAAUCUUGAAACCUCAUCUCAGUUCGGAUCGCAGUCUGCAACUCGACUGCGUGAAGUUGGAAUCGCUAGUAAUCGCG
rnacentral:rRNA from 1 species